ensembl:lncRNA
GUUUGGCUGUUUUUAUCGACCCCCCACCCACGUGAUUUCCUGUAAAUAUCACGCGUAAAAGCGAAACAGAAAGUAGACAGUUGGAAAUCCCCAUUUUGUGAACAGACGCACUGACACAAGCCGGUGCUGAAGUGUGUGACGUCAAUCAAAAAUGGCUUCGAAUAAUAAACAAAAACUGCAGAGACCAGAGUCACCAGAUUCCAGCAGUGAGUCGGAGGAGAGUGUUUUGUCACGAUUAACUCGUCUGGGAUUCUACCAUGAAUCCUACGAUCAACUACCGUCGGCUGUUUCCCUGAGGAGUGACAAUUCCAAAGGCAUGCCCCCAGACUUCAGAGAACCAGGCCCAUACUCACCAUUGGCUGUUUCCCUGAAGAGUGACUAUUCUAAAGGCAUGCCCCCAGACUUCAGAGAACCAGGCCCACACUCAAGCCCAUGUGUGUCUUUCUGCCCUCACUUGUCCACCAACCAAAUCCUCUGGUUUCUGUGCAUUCUGACCAAUGCUCCAUGGUGGUAGUCAGGGGCGAGGCUAGGCCUAUUUUAGGGGUACUCAAGCACCCCUAAAAUUAAUUCAAGCACCCCUAAAAAUGCCAGGCCAAAAAUAUAAUAACAGAAAUAAAGUCCACACUAAAACGUAUUAUGUACUUCUAUAAUAUAUUUCUGGGUUGAUUUAUUAAAAUAUGUGUAUUUAAAGAAAUAAAGCAUAAACACCCCUCUUCACUAAAUGAUUUGGUCUGAUGUCUCGUUGCUGUAGCUCCGCCCCCUCUCCUCACAGCGCUGUCGCCUCAGACUCUCUCUCUCUGCUCUGUCUCUCCGUGGAGUUUAAACUUUGGUGCUGGU